CCUACGGGAGGCAGCAGUGGGGAAUAUUGGGCAAUGGGCGCAAGCCUGACCCAGCAACGCCGCGUGAAGGAAGAAGGCUUUCGGGUUGUAAACUUCUUUUAAGAGGGAAGAGCAGAAGACGGUACCUCUUGAAUAAGCCACGGCUAACGACGUGCCAGCAGCCGCGGUAAUACGUAGGUGGCAAGCGUUGUCCGGAUUUACUGGGGGUAAAGGGCGUGCAGCCGGGAAGAGCAGUCAGAUGGGCAAUCCCGCGGCUCACCCGCGGAACUGCCUUUGAAACUGUUUUUCUUGAGUACCGGAGAGGUCAUCGGCCUUCCUUUUGUCGCGCUGAACUGCGUCGAUAUACGGAAG
rnacentral:rRNA from 1 species